rnacentral:rRNA from 1 species
GAUGAACGCUGGCGGCGUGCCUAAUACAUGCAAGUCGAGCGAACGGACGAGAAGCUUGCUUCUCUGAUGUUAGCGGCGGACGGGUGAGUAACACGUGGAUAACCUACCUAUAAGACUGGGAUAACUUCGGGAAACCGGAGCUAAUACCGGAUAAUAUUUUGAACCGCAUGGUUCAAAAGUGAAAGACGGUCUUGCUGUCACUUAUAGAUGGAUCCGCGCUGCAUUAGCUAGUUGGUAAGGUAACGGCUUACCAAGGCAACGAUGCAUAGCCGACCUGAGAGGGUGAUCGGCCACACUGGAACUGAGACAUGGUCCAGACUCCUACGGGAGGCAGCAGUAGGGAAUCUUCCGCAAUGGGCGAAAGCCUGACGGAGCAACGCCGCGUGAGUGAUGAAGGUCUUCGGAUCGUAAAACUCUGUUAUUAGGGAAGAACAUAUGUGUAAGUAACUGUGCACAUCUUGACGGUACCUAAUCAGAAAGCCACGGCUAACUACGUGCCAGCAGCCGCGGUAAUACGUAGGUGGCAAGCGUUAUCCGGAAUUAUUGGGCGUAAAGCGCGCGUAGGCGGUUUUUUAAGUCUGAUGUGAAAGCCCACGGCUCAACCGUGGAGGGUCAUUGGAAACUGGAAAACUUGAGUGCAGAAGAGGAAAGUGGAAUUCCAUGUGUAGCGGUGAAAUGCGCAGAGAUAUGGAGGAACACCAGUGGCGAAGGCGACUUUCUGGUCUGUAACUGACGCUGAUGUGCGAAAGCGUGGGGAUCAAACAGGAUUAGAUACCCUGGUAGUCCACGCCGUAAACGAUGAGUGCUAAGUGUUAGGGGGUUUCCGCCCCUUAGUGCUGCAGCUAACGCAUUAAGCACUCCGCCUGGGGAGUACGACCGCAAGGUUGAAACUCAAAGGAAUUGACGGGGACCCGCACAAGCGGUGGAGCAUGUGGUUUAAUUCGAAGCAACGCGAAGAACCUUACCAAAUCUUGACAUCCUUUGACAACUCUAGAGAUAGAGCCUUCCCCUUCGGGGGACAAAGUGACAGGUGGUGCAUGGUUGUCGUCAGUUCGUGUCGUGAGAUGUUGGGUUAAGUCCCGCAACGAGCGCAACCCUUAAGCUUAGUUGCCAUCAUUAAGUUGGGCACUCUAAGUUGACUGCCGGUGACAAACCGGAGGAAGGUGGGGAUGACGUCAAAUCAUCAUGCCCCUUAUGAUUUGGGCUACACACGUGCUACAAUGGACAAUACAAAGGGCAGCGAAACCGCGAGGUCAAGCAAAUCCCAUAAAGUUGUUCUCAGUUCGGAUUGUAGUCUGCAACUCGACUACAUGAAGCUGGAAUCGCUAGUAAUCGUAGAUCAGCAUGCUACGGUGAAUACGUUCCCGGGUCU